rnacentral:rRNA from 1 species
AGAGUUUGAUCCUGGCUCAGGAUGAACGCUAGCUACAGGCUUAACACAUGCAAGUCGAGGGGCAUCAGUUUGGUUUGCUUGCAAACCAAAGCUGGCGACCGGCGCACGGGUGAGUAACACGUAUCCAACCUGCCUCAUACUCGGGGAUAGCCUUUCGAAAGAAAGAUUAAUAUCCGAUAGCAUAUAUUUCCCGCAUGGGUUUUAUAUUAAAGAAAUUCGGUAUGAGAUGGGGAUGCGUUCCAUUAGUUUGUUGGGGGGGUAACGGCCCACCAAGACUACGAUGGAUAGGGGUUCUGAGAGGAAGGUCCCCCACAUUGGAACUGAGACACGGUCCAAACUCCUACGGGAGGCAGCAGUGAGGAAUAUUGGUCAAUGGACGAGAGUCUGAACCAGCCAAGUAGCGUGAAGGAUGACUGCCCUAUGGGUUGUAAACUUCUUUUAUAUGGGAAUAAAGUUGUCCACGUGUGGAUUUUUGUAUGUACCAUAUGAAUAAGGAUCGGCUAACUCCGUGCCAGCAGCCGCGGUAAUACGGAGGAUCCGAGCGUUAUCCGGAUUUAUUGGGUUUAAAGGGAGCGUAGGCGGAUUGUUAAGUCAGUUGUGAAAGUUUGCGGCUCAACCGUAAAAUUGCAGUUGAUACUGGCUGUCUUGAGUACAGUAGAGGUGGGCGGAAUUCGUGGUGUAGCGGUGAAAUGCUUAGAUAUCACGAAGAACUCCGAUUGCGAAGGCAGCUCACUGGAGUGUAACUGACGCUGAUGCUCGAAAGUGUGGGUAUCAAACAGGAUUAGAUACCCUGGUAGUCCACACAGUAAACGAUGAAUACUCGCUGUUUGCGAUAUACAGUAAGCGGCCAAGCGAAAGCAUUAAGUAUUCCACCUGGGGAGUACGCCGGCAACGGUGAAACUCAAAGGAAUUGACGGGGGCCC